AUUAUCGUGUCUCGAGGAGCACCGGAACCAGCGAUAGGCGGCGGCGAUGGAGAGGAUCCCGGCGGCCUUCGUCAUGGACUGGAGCAUCGACCACGGCAGGAGCCUCCGCUCCCGCCACCUAGGAGCGCACCACCAGGCCCUCGACGCCGACGCCCCAGGCAUUUGCAAGCUCGCAUCUUGGCCUACCGUCCCGGCGGGGGUGGCCUCCGCAUCCAGCAUCACGCCCGCCGAGUCCCGUGUCUUUUCCAAGACCAUGCUCUUCCGCCUCGCCACCGAGUUCAGGCCCGCCGUCGACGACUCCAUCCGGUCCUGCAUCGUCCGCUCCCUCCUCCCGAACGAGGUCGGCGGUUGGGCGGCGGCGGAUCCCAAGCAAAUCCUCCGUAGGGUCGCGGCGGCACACGGCACAGCAGGGGCAGCCCCGAGGACUAGCGCUCGCUCUUAGGAUGUUCGGUUGCCUCCCUGACUAAGCUGAGUUCCAAACGAACCCUCUAUGUUAAGGCAAAUUUAUAGCUUACCUUUUAUGUUCAUAUUGUGUGCCAUGAUUUGCAACCUUAAUUACUCCUCUUGCUUUUUUCAAUUUUCAUCCCACUGCGCUCCAGGUUUACCUUAAUGAUUUAGAAUCUCAGGCUGAAGGUUCAUGGAGAUGGAAGCACCCCUCAAUCCUCCAUCGCCAGUUGCGACUUCACUGGCACCGCCACCCUCUCCUCCAGGAUCCCCAGUCUUCUUCGUCUAAUGGCGAUGAUCAAUUCCAGCAUCGAGUGGUUUGCUGGAACUAGAUUGGGCAGGAAGGAAAUCCCCCAUUGCGCUCUUUGUUGUAGCUCUGUGUUAACUACUAAACAAAGCUACGAGCAUUAUAUUACGUGCGGCAGCGAUGGUGAAAGCAUGUUCUGUAGCUCCUUCAUUGGCUGCAAAUACUAGAGACUAACUGAGCAGGCUGACUACCAGCAUCCAAUCCUGACGAAGACGAAAAGCAAGUCGGUCUUCACAGCUGAGCCUUCUUUUCCUUCCCGGAUUUGUCUCUAGUUGUAUUGUCUAUGCAGAUAUAGUCAUGAAUUUUACAGGGCAUUCAAGCAUAUCAGAUGUAAGUUUACAAACAUGGAUUCUAUAUGAUGAUGCAGGUAUGUCCCGCUGAAUGAUGCUUAGUUUACAAACAAGGAUUCUAUAUGAUGAUGCAGGAUACAUCUCGCACGGAUGACAUCAGAAAGGUGAACAGAGUUUUGAAUGAGCUGGCUGGCUCCAGAUUUGUAGUUCGCCGACUUGGUCACCCGGCGAGCCGCCAACCGUUGUCCUCACGACGAGGUCCCAUUCGCACCAGGGAGUGGAUGUAGGGAGCUAGCCCGGAAGGCAAAAAGAAGGUGGAUUUGGGCUGCACUUCAAAUCUACAACCUUCAGCGUACCAGAACUGUGGACACAUCAGAAUACCCAAAUCGCCCCAGCUUGGAAGCCACCUCCUGAAGGUUUUAUAAAGGUUAACACCGAUGCUUCCUUCAUUCCUGAAUCUGGGGUUGGUAGCGCUAGAAUGGUCAGGCGGGACACCUCGGUAGCGGUCAUCUUAUCUGCAGCCUGUCCGACGAGAGACUGCACCGGGCUGAAGAAGCAGAAGUUGAGGUUAUACUGCGGGGCGUGCAUCUGAAUAUGAACUUUGGAUGCAGAUCAUCAUGGUGAGAUCUGACUGACUGACGCUGUUCAGUUCCAGGUCGCAUAACCUCUGUACCUCAUUUCUAAUUGUCGUUGUUGAUUUUCUAUAUAGACCUCUAAUUUUUUUUCUGAAA